AGCACUCACCAUGUAGUAGUAGUAGUAGAUUAACAGAUAAUAAUGAAGCCUUACUCAAAAGAGUAGCAAAUUUAAAAAGAAGCUGCCGUUAGUUGUUUUGGCAAUGGGAGGCAAGAGGGAAGUGCACAUCAGAUGAACCGCAGAAGCUGGGGAGACAGAUGCUAGAGUCGAUGCGAAAUGAAUACCGUGGUAAAAUACUUCGCGGUACCCAAUCUGGCUGCCAGCGAGGCAUAGAAGUGUCCUCCUACAGUAUCGUAUUGCACGGUUUCCUUCACUUCUUGCCAUUGUAUACAUUGAAAGGUUGCCACGGUAACAGCUAGGCUGCCAGCCUAUCUCUUUAGCUAGCAUCUGCUAUUGCCCUG
rnacentral:lncRNA from 1 species